rnacentral:lncRNA from 1 species
UGGUGGGCAGCAGACGGCUGGGGUGGCCUAUUCGCCUGGGUCUCGUCCAGGCCGGCUCCGGGCCCGUGGGGUCUCCAGGGCCUCUGGUGCUCCUGAAGUAAGGCUGGCCCUGAGUGACCAAGGGCACUAGCGACACCCGGCUCUAGCUCCAGAGGCAGCACAGUGGGAGGCCAGUCUAUGCACGGUGAGCUGGCUCCAGGGAGGGACACUGGGCACCCAGCCCCCACCACCUUCCCCUGUGGCCUGGCAGCCGAGAGUAGAGCUGAAAUUUAACUCAGCUCUGAAAGUAAAGUUCAGACGGUUUCACUUAGCUCGGAGAAAGGUGGAAUUGCAUUCCUAAAGCACACUGAUUUUACAGGGUUCGUGGGACAGACCUUGAAAGGCCCGGCGCCGGCUGACCCUCGGACCUCACGGCCAACAGCGGCCAGCACCCCAGGGCUACGGAGCAGAGGGGCGGGCAGACAGACCCAUCUGCAACCUGGCUGGUGCUGCAGGAUGGGCAGUGCCCUCCCGUCCUAGAAGGGCCACCGACUCGAGGCCACCGGACCACCGCCUGCCGAUGGGCGUCUUACCAGACACGGUUCACCAGGGUCUUCCUUUCAUCAUACCGGGGUGCCGUUUCCUGCCGGUCUUUUUACCUGACCAGGUGACCAGCUGGUUUGUUUGCAAAGUGACUGUCCUCUCUGGAGAAUGAGCCGCUGUCACCUGGUUUGUCCUUUCUCUGCCCUGCCAACUCCACCGUGUGCUUCCUCUCCACUGCUUAUCUUCUUUUAACCCUUCAGAAAGUCCUCACCUCCCAAGCAGCCCCCAAAUCGGGAAGGACCCAUCAAAGAAUGGCUAAAACUCUCUGAAAU